GAAUGCUGACAUAAGUAACGAUAAAGCGGGUGAAAAGCCCGCUCGCCGGAAGACCAAGGGUUCCUGUCCAACGUUAAUCGGGGCAGGGUGAGUCGACCCCUAAGGCGAGGCCGAAAGGCGUAGUCGAUGGGAAACGGGUUAAUAUUCCCGUACUUGGUGUUACUGCGAAGGGGGGACGGAGAAGGCUAUGUUGGCCGGGCGACGGUUGUCCCGGUUUAAGCGUGUAGGUGUGUGUUCCAGGUAAAUCCGGUUCACUUUAACACUGAGGCGUGACGACGAGGCACUACGGUGCUGAAGCAACAAAUGCCCUGCUUCCAGGAAAAGCCUCUAAGCAUCAGGUAACAUCAAAUCGUACCCCAAACCGACACAGGUGGUCAGGUAGAGAAUACCAAGGCGCUUGAGAGA
rnacentral:rRNA from 1 species